UACGGAGGGGGCUAGCGUUGUUCGGAAUUACUGGGCGUAAAGCGCACGUAGGCGGCUUUGUAAGUUAGAGGUGAAAGCCCAGGGCUUAACCCUGGAAUUGCCUUUAAGACUGCAUCGCUAGAAUUGUGGAGAGGUAAGUGGGAUUCCGAGUGUAGAGGUGAAAUUCGUAGAUAUUCGGAAGAACACCAGUGGCGAAGGCGACUUACUGGACACAUAUUGACGCUGAGGUGCGAAAGCGUGGGGAGCAAACAGG
rnacentral:rRNA from 1 species